AGCAUAUCAAUAAGCGGAGGAAAAGAAACCAACCGGGAUUGCCUCAGUAACGGCGAGUGAAGCGGCAAGAGCUCAAAUUUGAAAUCUGGCCCCUUUGGGGUCCGAGUUGUAAUUUGCAGAGGAUGCUUCGGGUGCGGUCCCCGUCUAAGUGCCCUGGAACGGGCCGUCAUAGAGGGUGAGAAUCCCGUCUGGGAUGGGCGGCCGCGCCCGUGUGAAGCUCCUUCGACGAGUCGAGUUGUUUGGGAAUGCAGCUCUAAGCGGGUGGUAAAUUUCAUCUAAAGCUAAAUACUGGCCGGAGACCGAUAGCGCACAAGUAGAGUGAUCGAAAGAUGAAAAGCACUUUGAAAAGAGAGUUAAACAGCACGUGAAAUUGUUGAAAGGGAAGCGUUGUCCACCAGACUCGCCCGGGGGGGCUCAGCCGGCACACGUGCCGGUGUACUCCUCUCCGGGCGGGCCAGCAUCGGUUUGGGCGGCUGGUGAAAGGCCCCGGGAAUGUAACACCCUUCGGGGUGCCUUAUAGCCCGGGGUGCCAUACAGCCAGCCUGGACCGAGGCCCGCGCUUCGGCGAGGAUGCUGGCGUAAUGGUGGUCAACGGCCCGUCUUGAAACACGGACCAAGGAGUCUAACAUCUAUGCGAGUGUUCGGGUGUCAAACCCGUCCGCGCAGUGAAAGCGAACGGAGGUGGGAGCCCCUCGGGGCGCACCAUCGACCGAUCCUGAUGUCUUCGGAUGGAUUUGAGUAAGAGCAUAGCUGUUGGGACCCGAAAGAUGGUGAACUAUGCCUGAAUAGGGCGAAGCCAGAGGAAACUCUGGUGGAGGCUCGCAGCGGUUCUGACGUGCAAAUCGAUCGUCAAAUUUGGGUAUAGGGGCGAAAGACUAAUCGAACCAUCUGGUAGCUGGUUCCUGCCG
rnacentral:rRNA from 1 species